UAGGGAAUCUUCCGCAAUGGACGCAAGUCUGACGGAGCAACGCCGCGUGAGUGAAGAAGGAUUUCGGUUCGUAAAACUCUGUUGUUAGAGAAGAACAGCGCAUAGAGUAACUGUUAUGCGUGUGACGGUAUCUAACCAGAAAGCCACGGCUAACUACGUGCCAGCAGCCGCGGUAAUACGUAGGUGGCAAGCGUUGUCCGGAUUUAUUGGGCGUAAAGCGAGCGCAGGCGGUCAAUUAAGUCUGAUGUGAAAGCCCCCGGCUCAACCGGGGAGGGUCAUUGGAAACUGGUUGACUUGAGUGCAGAAGAGGAGAGUGGAAUUCCAUGUGUAGCGGUGAAAUGAGUAGAUAUAUGGAGGAACACCAGUGGCGAAGGCGACUCUCUGGUCUGUAACUGACGCUGAGGCUCGAAAGCGUGGGGAGCGAACAGG
rnacentral:rRNA from 1 species